UAAUACAUGCAAGUCGAGCGAGCGGAACCAACAGAUUUACUUCGGUAAUGACGUUGGGAAAGCGAGCGGAGGAUGGGUGAGUAACACGUGGGGAACCUGCCCCUAAGUCUGGGAUACCAUUUGGAAACAGGUGCUAAUACCGGAUAAUAAAGCAGAUCGCAUGAUCAGCUUUUGAAAGGCGGCGCAAGCUGUCGCUAAGGGAUGGCCCCGCGGUGCAUUAGCUAGUUGGUAAGGUAACGGCUUACCAAGGCGACGAUGCAUAGCCGAGUUGAGAGACUGAUCGGCCACAUUGGGACUGAGACACGGCCCAAACUCCUACGGGAGGCAGCAGUAGGGAAUCUUCCACAAUGGACGCAAGUCUGAUGGAGCAACGCCGCGUGAGUGAAGAAGGUUUUCGGAUCGUAAAGCUCUGUUGUUGGUGAAGAAGGAUAGAGGUAGUAACUGGCCUUUAUUUGACGGUAAUCAACCAGAAAGUCACGGCUAACUACGUGCCAGCAGCCGCGGUAAUAC
rnacentral:rRNA from 1 species